GACGAACGCUGGCGGCGUGCUUAACACAUGCAAGUCGAACGGAAAGGCCCUGCUUUUGUGGGGUGCUCGAGUGGCGAACGGGUGAGUAACACGUGAGUAACCUGCCCUUGACUUUGGGAUAACUUCAGGAAACUGGGGCUAAUACCGGAUAGGAGCUCCUGCUGCAUGGUGGGGGUUGGAAAGUUUCGGCGGUUGGGGAUGGACUCGCGGCUUAUCAGCUUGUUGGUGGGGUAGUGGCUUACCAAGGCUUUGACGGGUAGCCGGCCUGAGAGGGUGACCGGCCACAUUGGGACUGAGAUACGGCCCAGACUCCUACGGGAGGCAGCAGUGGGGAAUAUUGCACAAUGGGCGGAAGCCUGAUGCAGCAACGCCGCGUGCGGGAUGACGGCCUUCGGGUUGUAAACCGCUUUCGCCUGUGACGAAGCGUGAGUGACGGUAAUGGGUAAAGAAGCACCGGCUAACUACGUGCCAGCAGCCGCGGUGAUACGUAGGGUGCGAGCGUUGUCCGGAUUUAUUGGGCGUAAAGGGCUCGUAGGUGGUUGAUCGCGUCGGAAGUGUAAUCUUGGGGCUUAACCCUGAGCGUGCUUUCGAUACGGGUUGACUUGAGGAAGGUAGGGGAGAAUGGAAUUCCUGGUGGAGCGGUGGAAUGCGCAGAUAUCAGGAGGAACACCAGUGGCGAAGGCGGUUCUCUGGGCCUUUCCUGACGCUGAGGAGCGAAAGCGUGGGGAGCGAACAGGCUUAGAUACCCUGGUAGUCCACGCUGUAAACGGUGGGUACUAGGUGUGGGGUCCAUUCCACGGGUUCCGUGCCGUAGCUAACGCUUUAAGUACCCCGCCUGGGGAGUACGGCCGCAAGGCUAAAACUCAAAGGAAUUGACGGGGCCCCGCACAAGCGGCGGAGCAUGCGGAUUAAUUCGAUGCAACGCGUAGAACCUUACCUGGGUUUGACAUGGAUCGGGAGUGCUCAGAGAUGGGUGUGCCUCUUUUGGGGUCGGUUCACAGGUGGUGCAUGCCUGUCGUCAGCUCGUGUCGUGAGAUGUUGGGUUAAGUCCCGCAACGAGCGCAACCCUUGUUCACUGUUGCCAGCACGUUAUGGUGGGGACUCAGUGGAGACCGCCGGGGUCAACUCGGAGGAAGGUGGGGAUGACGUCAAGUCAUCAUGCCCCUUAUGUCCAGGGCUUCACGCAUGCUACAAUGGCUGGUACAGAGAGUGGCGAGCCUGUGAGGGUGAGCGAAUCUCGGAAAGCCGGUCUCAGUUCGGAUUGGGGUCUGCAACUCGACCUCAUGAAGUCGUAGUCGCUAGUAAUCGCAGAUCAGCAACGCUGCGGUGAAUACGCUCCCGGGGCU
rnacentral:rRNA from 1 species